UACAGCUUUGUCUUUGGAUCUACCAUGAAGGUUUGUUCAUGAUCAGCAUGGCAGGAAAUGUGGAGGAAAACAUGAUGGCAGGCAGGCAUGGCAUGGCAUGGCACUUUCACCUAGUGCCAUACCUCCCCCAACAAGGCCACACCUCCUAAUCCUUCCUGAGCAGUCUAUCAGGGCCAAGAUGGGACUUGGACCAGGAAUAGUUAUGGACACACUCAACAUGGACUUCUUUGCAAGAAGGAGCAUUGCCCCGCCUGCCCACCAGUGUGCCUUUCCCACGGCGUUCUCUGGUGAACACAGAAAACCCAGGUCACCAGCAUCCACAAGGCCAGUGUCAUGUUUCCAGGGGAUGUGGAGGAAGUGGGCAAGCAGUAAUUGGAGGUUCUCAUAUAGCAAAAGCCAAAGAAAUCCUUCGAAUAUAUUCAUCAUGGGUGAAUCACCAGAAGGUUCUAUGACACAGAGAGAAUCUUGGCCUUUCUUCCUGGGAAUCUUAAUGGGAUUCUCCUCAGGAUUGUGCGUUUGCUUGGUUUUCUCUCUGUAUACUUAACGAAUUUACAGAGCCAUUUUGUAGUGUGACAACUCGGGGACUGUGAACCGGGAGGGCGAGGGAAGACACAGCGCCCAGAGGAAAGUGUGUGCUUCUAGAACAAUUACUCUGAGGCCCUAGCACCUUUAGGAAUCUGCACUUAUUGUUAUUUAAACUAAAUUUCCCCUCAAUGUCUGAGUUUAUGUACAUGUAUAUAUAUGAGUAAUGCUUCUUAAUCAUUCCCGCUGAAGUAUUUCUAAUAGCAGAAGGGUUGACCUACGCUUUGCCCCUGACACCACACUCUCCUGAUGUUCAUGAUUGUACAAAACAAACAAACAAACAAACUAACUAACUAACUAACUAAAUAACACCAAACCAAAAAAACCUAAAACCCUGCUCCUGUACAUUUUCAAAGUCUUCUAUUUCAGCUUUAAAAAUCCACACUGGGCCCAUGUUGGGCUCUAGAAUGUAAAUUGCCCCAGCACUGGGUUGAAGGAUUGCUGUUUCUUCCGAGAUGUCACUCCUCCAGGUUGUCUAUUUAGGGCUCUGGAUUCCCAGAUGAAGUCAGAACCCUCGGGGUCAUAGCUCUCGGGGUGUAUAUUCAUGGGUAAACAGGCUAGUGUGCACACGUGUGCUUGUAUUUACAGAGGCUGGAAGACAGUGGUGAAUGUCUUCCCGGGAGCACCCCGUGUUCUGAGACAGAGCAUCCCGCUGGCCUGGAGCUCAUCAAGUCAGAGGCUGGCUGACUAACAAGCUCAGGGGCAGAGCUCUUCACGGUUUACUUACUGUAGCACAGCUAAGGAAGCAGUCUGUGUCCUAAAUGUCUGAUGUCUGAUAUUCUCGCAAAUAUAAAGGGACAUGCUGAAAUCAGCUUAACGGAUUAUGAUAAGGGCAAGUGACACAGUAGAGGGGAUGGGCAUGUAUAAUUUUAACCCGAUAGAAGGUUUAUAAAACACGGACGUCUUGAAUGAAGGGAAAAAGAAACAGAACAUGACAACAUACAAUCACUAUGUCACUCUUCUGUAAAUACAGAAGUAGAGUCUGUGAAGACAUUCUGGCUCAUCAGUGAUCUUACUGGCGGUAAUGUUCGUACUAUCAGCCUGGGUCUAUUGUGUAUCAUAACAAAAUGAUGUAGGACACAGGGAAAUGUACUUCUGACCUCCGCCUUCCAAAGGCAUAAUCGAUUGACAGCCCAAACUUAGAUCUUCUGGAUCUACCUCCCCCCCCCCCCCCGGGCUGGGCUACCACUGCAUAGAGGCCACGUCCCACCCGGCUGCUAUCAGCCACCAGUGAGCACAGAGGGAGCUGGACUGCAGAGCUAUUCCCGUUGGCCUUAGGACAUGUACCUCAGGCAGCCUUGGCUGAAGGAGUCUCCCCUUGUCUAGAAAAAAGCAGUCUAUACACUCAGCCACAGUCUGAGGCUCUGCCUACUCAGCCCCUUUGCUUUUCCAGUUAGUUUUGUGAGACUUGCCUUGUAUCCCUGUGAUGCUGGCCCCCUUUCCUUUCCGUGGCCCAGACUUCCCGUCCAAAACCUAGUGCAUGUUUAAUGCUGCCUUGAUGCUUGCUUCUCUGAAGGCCUGAACUAAGAUUAAAACAAGUGGGCAAUUAUGAGAUUUUCUAAUUCCUACAAUUCUAAUUGUGAAGGAAAGAGCCUCUGCUAUAGGAGAAAGGAAGAUAAGCUAGAAGCCAAACUCCACAUGGGUGGCCAGAAGUAUCACAUGACAUACACUGUCCAAGUUUGCUUUCUGUUGCCAAGAUAACGCCAAAAUCAGAAGAAACUUAGGAAGUUUGAACGACGAACAUUCCCAUAGUCUCAGGCAUAUGAACACUUGCACCGAAGUUUGUGGCACCGUUUGGAGAGGCUUCGGAGGUGUGGCCUUGCUGAAGGAAGUAUGGAGGAUGUUGUGGUGGGCUUUGAGAGCUUCACCUCUCACCCACUCCCAGGUUGUUCUUGGCUGCAUGUUUAAUAGUCAAGGUGUGGACUGUCAUCAUGCUGCUGUGGUCACCAUGCCUGCCUCUUCCCAGUGAUGGUGAUGGAUUCUUAUCUCUCCAGGACCAUAAGCUCACAUAAACCCUUCGGCUAUAAGUUGCCUUGGUCACGGUGUUUUUAAUCAUUGUAAUACAAAAGUAGCUGUUGCAGAAAGGAAAGGGUUUAUUUUGGCCUAUACAAGCCAUUAGUGACAGAAAUCAGGACAGGAACUGAGGCAAAAACCAUGGAAGAAUGCUGCUUACUGGCUUGCUCCCUCUGUUCUGUGAUCAGCCUGCUUUCUUAUACAACUCAAAAAUAACACCCAAAAUGGUCCGGCCCUCCCUCAUCAAUCAACAAUAAUUCCCUACAGACAUGGUCACAGGCCAAUCUGAUGAGGGCAAUCCCUCAACUGAGCCUCCCUCAUCUUGGUUGUGUCAAGCUGGCAAUAAGAACUACCCAGUAGAGUGAUUUUCUUUCUUUAAAUCAUGGUGGCUUCUGCCAUGCUCUUUUGAGUCACCUUCUCUUAAGGAAGCCAGCUGCCAUGUCACUAGGACAUUCAAAUAACCUUGUGGGAAGGUCCACGAGGUCCUGCCAACAGCCAGCAUCAACUGGCUCAGAUUAGGGGGCUAAUCUUCCAGUCCUGCCAAGCCUUCAGAUAACUGCAGCCUGGCUGAUCACAACCUCACAGGAGACCCUAAUUUAAACCAUCCACAUAUGCCAGUCUGGGAUUCUUGGCCCAUGGGAACUAUUGUUUGAGGCAAUAGUGUUUUAGAAAAUUAUACCUCGCCAGGCGGUGAUGGCUCAAGGCUCAAGAAGCAGAGGCAGGAAGAUCUCUGUGAGUCUGAGGCCAGCCUCGUCUAUAGAGUUCCAAGACAGCCAAGGCUACACAGAGAAACCCUAUCUUGACAAACCAAAUAAAUAAAGUGUGCCUUGAAGUAAUUUGUUAUAUAAUACCAGACACUCAUAUACACACCUUAAAAUAAAAUAAAUAUUUUUUUUAUGUCUAAAACCAAUGUUUAUCCAGUCAAAGUGAGCUCCACUAGAGUUCCCACUGUGAUGUGGAGAUAUCAUUUCUCUCUAAAGGAAACCUUUAUGAAACUUGUAUGUAAUGUGGAUGGGAAAAACAGUUCUAUAUGAAUACUGUUCAAGUUAUAAGUGAAGAACAAAUAGCAGGAUUUGGAUAUUACUGUUUGUGACCCCCAACGAGUUAAUGAGGCUAAGCGCUAGCUAGGACUUUUGAUUUCCCCAAGAGUGACAAGUGGAUAUUGUGUGCCUCUUGAUGGGAGAGAAACAUAGCUGUAGUCUUGCCAAUGAGGUCAAAUUGAAAUCCAAUUAAGCCUCUGGACCCAGUUGCCAAUUUGCAGAGAACACAAUGGACAGAGGAAUCUGCUGAACUGUAUCGUGAGUCAACAAUCAGCAAUGUCCAAACUGGGAGAAAUUGGGCAGUUACAGAGCCUGGGCUCCCUUGCAGAUAAAGCGUGAGGAAAGAGGGUGCUGGUACAGAGAACUUCAAAGUUAAAGAGAUUCAAAGACAUAAAACAUAAAAACACAAGGAACUGAGUACUACCAACAGUGGCUCUCAAACUUUAAGCACGCAUGAGAAUUACAUGCUAGAUUUCUUUGGUUGGUUUUUCAAGAUGGGGUUUCUCUGUGUAAUAGUCCUGGACUUGCUUUGUAACCAGGCUGGCCUCGAACUCAGGAAGAUCCGCCUACCUCUGCCUCCUGAGUGCUGAGAUUACAGACGUGCACCACCGCACCAGGCUUAGAUUUCUUAGCAUAUGAGUUUCUGGGCGCCACAUUCCACCCUGUGGAGUUCCUUGACAGAGCCUGAGGACUUGUACUGCUAUCAAAAUACAAGGUCAUGCUCCAGGACAGUCGUUUCUUAGGAAGGGAGAAUAUGAUAAGGCCAGGAUACACGCAGGGGGGUCUGGAGUACCUAGCCAAGUGCUUGUUCUUGAUUU